CACGUAGGGCGCAAGCGUUGUCCGGAAUUAUUGGGCGUAAAGAGCUCGUAGGCGGUCUGUUGCGUCCGCUGUGAAAACUCGGGGCUUAACCCCGAGCCUGCAGUGGAUACGGGCAGACUAGAGGUAGGUAGGGGAGAAUGGAAUUCCCGGUGUAGCGGUGAAAUGCGCAGAUAUCAGGAGGAACACCGGUGGCGAAGGCGGGUCUCUGGGCCGAUAUUGACGCUGAGGAGCGAAAGCGUGGGGAGCAAACGGG
rnacentral:rRNA from 1 species